rnacentral:rRNA from 1 species
AUGGAGGGUGCCGCAGCGGGAGAGCCGGCACCGGCGGGCGUGCAUGCCGUGCCCUCCCGCAGGCUGAUCGCCGGCUUCAUCUCGGGCGCGCUCACUGGCAUCUUCGCUCUAGCUGGAGCGCUAACCGGAGCUGUCACCGGCGCGCUGGCGGGCAGAGCCUCCAAUAGCGGCGUUCUCCGGGGAGCUAGAUCUGGAGCAGUCGCCGGGGCCGUCCUCUCCAUCGUGGUUCUCCAGGCAUCUCGCGCGUACCGGUGCUCGGACCGGCUCGGCCUCGGCGCAUCAUCCAUGUCCAUGACAGAUUUCAUAGAGCAGCUCCUUCAUGCCCGGUUUGAGCAACAGCGGCUUGGAUUUUCAGCACAUACAUCACACCAGUCGCAGGUCAGCAUAUCCGACUUUGGUCACGAUGAUGUGUAUGAAAUCUUCGGAGACAUUUCGUUGAGAGGGCUUUCGGGCGAGUCCCUGAGGAAAUUGCCACACUAUGUGGUAACUGAUCAGGUCCAUAGCACAUUUCAGGAAAACCUGCCUUGCACUAUUUGUCUACAGGAUAUGGUAGCUGGCGAGACAGCAAGGAGGUUGCCGAAUUGCUCCCAUGCUUUUCACCAGCCCUGCGUGGACAAAUGGCUCUUUACCCACGGUUCAUGCCCUGUGUGUCGGCAACAUGUGCAGCGUAUAUAG